rnacentral:rRNA from 1 species
GACGAACGCUGGCGGCGUGCUUAACACAUGCAAGUCGAACGGAAAGGCCCUGCUUUUGUGGGGUGCUCGAGUGGCGAACGGGUGAGUAACACGUGAGUAACCUGCCCUUGACUUUGUGAUAACUUCUGGAAACUGGGGCUAAUACCGGAUAGGAGCUCCUGCUGCAUGGUGGGGGUUGGAAAGUUUCGGCGGUUGGGGAUGGACUCGCGGCUUAUCAGCUUGUUGGUGUGGUAGUGGCUUACCAAGGCUUUGACGGGUAGCCGGCCUGAGAGGGUGACCGGCCACAAUGGGACUGAGAGACGGCCCAGACUCCUACGGGAGGCAGCAGGGGGGAAUAUUGCACAAUGGGCGGAAGCGUGAUGCAGCAACGCCGCGUGCGGGAUGACGUCCUUCGGGUUGUAAACCGCUUUCGCCGGUGACGAAGCGUGAGUGACGGUAAUGGGUAAAGAAGCACCGGCUAACUACGUG